ACCCCAGACUCCUACGGGAGGCAGCAGUGGGGGAUAUUGCACAAUGGGGGGAACCCUGAUGCAGCGACGCCGCGUGGGUGAAGGAGCGUUUCGGCGCGUAAAGCCCUAUCGGCAGGGAAGAAGGAGGACGGUACCUGACUAAGAAGCCCCGGCUAACUACGUGCCAGCAGCCGCGGUAAUACGUAGGGGGCAAGCGUUAUCCGGAUUCACUGGGUGUAAAGGGAGCGUAGACGGCCAUGCAAGCCUGGAGUGAAAGCCCGGGGCCCAACCCCGGGACUGCUCUGGGAACUGUGCGGCUGGAGUGCAGGAGGGGCAGGCGGAAUUCCUGGUGUAGCGGUGAAAUGCGUAGAUAUCAGGAGGAACACCGGCGGCGAAGGCGGCCUGCUGGACCGCGACUGACGUUGAGGCUCGAAAGCGUGGGGAGCAAACAGGAUUAGAUACCCUUGUAU
rnacentral:rRNA from 1 species